AGGUUUUCGGAUCGUAAAACUCUGUUGUUAGAGAAGAACAAGGACGUUAGUAACUGAACGUCCCCUGACGGUAUCUAACCAGAAAGCCACGGCUAACUACGUGCCAGCAGCCGCGGUAAUACGUAGGGUGCGAGCGUUAAUCGGAAUUACUGGGCGUAAAGCGGGCGCAGACGGUUACUUAAGCAGGAUGUGAAAUCCCCGGGCUCAACCCGGGAA
rnacentral:rRNA from 1 species